rnacentral:tRNA from 1 species
UAGGUUGAAGCCAGUUGUUUAGGGUAUUUAGCUGUUAACUAAAAGUUCGUGGGUUUGUGUCCCACCGGCCUAG